rnacentral:tRNA from 1 species
AUUCUAGUAGCUUAAUCUAAAAGCACUGGUCUUGUAAACCAAAGACUGAAGACCGCAAUCUUCCUAGAAUA